UACGUAGGGGGGCUAGCGUUGUCCGGAAUUAUUGGGCGUAAAGAGCUCGUAGGCGGUUUGUCGCGUCUGCUGUGAAAACUCGGGGCUUAACUCCGGGCCUGCAGUGGGUACGGGCAGACUAGAGUGCGGUAGGGGGAGACUGGAAUUCCUGGUGUAGCGGUGAAAUGCGCAGAUAUCAGGAGGAACACCGGUGGCGAAGGCGGGUCUCUGGGCCGUAACUGACGCUGAGGAGCGAAAGCGUGGGGAGCGAACAGG
rnacentral:rRNA from 1 species